rnacentral:lncRNA from 1 species
AUAUCAAAACUACACCCGAGUCCUUUGGCAUGUAGUAGUAUUCUGUUUUGUAAAUGAAGAAGCUAAGAUUCAAGGAGGUAAAGGAUAGUGAAGGGCUAGUUUGAACUGAACCUGUAUCUUUCUGAUUGUAAAUCUUUUACUGCAUUAGGCUUCACCAUUAGAGAAUGGCUUUUGCAAGUGCAGUUUUGCCUUAUAAUCUAUCUUAUUACUAGACCCCUUUUCAACAUAUGACAUGGACCCUAUUUUUUUUUAAAAUGACAAAUGUAUAGAUGAUUUUAGAGGCUAGCUGAAGUAAGAUCAGAUUCUUAGGCUAAGUUUACCUCAAAAUUAUUUAAAUUUUGUUUCUAUAUAUAUAUAUAUCUCCAGUGGGUUCUGAUAGAAUACCAUCUUAUUUUUGUAUUAGGAAAUGCACUCACUAUGCCCCAACUGGGUGAUAAUACAUAGGUUGACUAUUGAGAUUGGAUCAAGGUUACUCUUAAGUUUCUUACGAGAGGCAAUAGUUGACAAUUUACUCCCUUGGAGAGUGCCUCUUGCUGUUGAGAAAUCCCUGUUGUUACAUUUUCUGCAUUGGCUUAGAAAUCCACAAGCUUAAAAGGGCACCGUUGAUAAUGAUAAGCCCCAAAUUUGUCCAAUGAUCUCUCCUACUUCCCUAAUCCGUUAUAUUUUAAGGGCAGUGUUUUCUUUUGGCUGGAUACUUAAUACGGAAUUGAAACCCAAUUUUUACUUUUUGUUGAUCAACAUGUAACAGAACUAAGCUAAAUUUUUAGGUUUUGUUUUAUAAAAUAUAGUGAUAAUAUAUCUUAAGUAAAAUAUAAAACCUUUUUUUAGUUCAUUAAAAAGAAUUUCAGACAAAUCUAGAAUUAAUCAUGCGAUUUACAUUCGUAGUUUCUGCAUUCCCCCUUUUCUUUUUCAUGUGUUCCUUUCCAUAUACAAUACCUUCUACAGAGUUGGAAUUAUAUCUUUAAUGUGAAGUUAAUGAGAAACAAUAAGUAUAUAGUAUAUCUGCUUUCUGCAACUCUUACUUUGGAAGCUCCAAAGAUCUCUAUAGAAGUUAUUUACGAAAAUAAAAAUUAUUGGUAAUGUUUUGGUGGUAGUAUUACUGACACUAUUCUCUGGUUUUACUAUCAUUUUCCUAUAUAUUUUGGAGUCUGUUGUUUUUAACGAUUUUCAUUGUGUUUUGAGAUAGUGUAUGACCAUAUACCACAAGUUGACCUUGAACCCAAGCCCCUUUAUGUGCUCUAAUUGCAAAUAUACACCUGUCAAGCAUUUUUGUUGUUGUUGUUUUGAGAUAGGGUUUCUCUGUGUAGCUCUGGCUGUCCUGGAGCUCACUGUAGACCAGGCUGGCCUCGAACUCAGAGAUCUGCCUGCCUCUGUCUCCCAAGUGCUGGGAUUAAAGGCAUGCACCCCCCACUGCCCAGCCUCAAGCACUUUUUAAUUACUAAAGAGGUAGGAAAGAUGAAGUUGAGAACUUGCAAUACCUUUGCAACUUACUGAACUGUUGCUUUGCUCGUAAGAUAGUUUAGACAAAAUAAUACAGUAGCCUGAAGACCUUAAUAGUUUUUUGCAUCUAAACUUCCCAUUUAAAUUAAUGUUCAAGUUGAAAUGAGAAGGAAACCUGUUGACAUGACUUUGAGAAAAUUAUAAGGUUUUUCAUUUGGAUAUGGAUAAAUGUACAAUUUGGGGAGGCAUGAAAUUUUGCAUUUUGGUAUGAUCUUAAAGUCUUCCUCCUUUUUUAUUUUUAAGUAGAUUUUGUGAGUACUUAGUUGCUUAGUUUUGUUGGGAUCAUGCAGAUUUGACUCUGGUGACCUAAAAAUUUCUGUAAGUAAAUGUAUUAUGGCUGUUAGAAUACUGAAGUAAUUACUGAUUGUACUCUUAAAAAUCAGAUUUAUAACAAAAGUAAAAGUAUGUCAAAUGGGAAUAAAUAUUGCCUUUUCACAGAUGUGAUCUUUUAAUACUUGAUACUUCAAUUAUUCCAUAAUUUUAAUUGCUUGAUGAUAGAGGCAUUAGUUGCUGUUGAAGGAACCUCAUGUACGAACCUCACAGUAUACAAAUUAUUUCAAAAUAAUUGAGCAUUUCCAGAGAAGAAAUACAGAAACUUCUUUUAUAGACACUUUUAGAAGUGAAUCUGUAACACUACCAUUUGUAAUUGCUUUUAUUACCAAUGUCAGCCUGAAGGGGCAUAAAAAUGAAAUUGGGUGAGACUUCUGGGUAACACUGAGUGGGCACAAAUAUUUAGACUAUGAAGACAAGUAUCAAAUGUCAAGUGUAUGGUGUAGUAAUUGAAGUGAUUGUUCACUAGAUGGCGAUAGACACCCUAAGAUCAUUAAUCAAUUAGAGAUUUUAUUCUGUGAACAAUAAUGUGAAGGCCAUUUAGUGACUUAAAUAUUUAUAUUUUAGAUUUUUACCAGUUUUGAAAAUACUAAAUAAAGGUUAAAAUGGUCCAAAGGAUUGUAAUAAUCUAAUAGAAUUAGUGUUUUAGUGUUUGAAAUGAUAUAUUUUUUUGCCUUGUAAGUUUUAUUGAUGAGAACAGUCAUUUAAUUUAUCUUAGUAAGUGAAUUCUUCCAUUGAGUGGAUAAAUCAUAUCUCUGAUCAUGGAGAUACAUUAUUUUCUUAGUUAUAGUACCACAGGCAACUCUAAAGAAAAUUGUAGAUGAUUGUUUGUAUGUGAUUUUGCCUCUUUGAAUAUGAUUUUUUGAAAUUUGAGGAAUUUAACUUUUUAAAUGAUUUCUAAGCAUAUUUGUCAUGUAACAUAAUAGUGAUAGUUGUCCUUAUGAAAUAAUUAGUACUUACUGAAUUAUUUAUUUGUUUCUGUCUUCUCUUAUUUCUGUGUUCUUGAAGAAACAAUUUUUGGUUUGGAUUUCUGAUUGCAAUUUCAAGUGCACUGUUCAGGAGUGGACCAUGUAUUUUCAUUUUACUGUCCUGUAGGCUGGAGUGAGUCAUUGCCAGCCUGUUUGUCUACCAGUUGUAGGAGAUCUGGUUUUCAGAACUGAAUUUGUUCCUUUUAGAAAAUGCAUCUCAAUCAUUACAUGCAGCCAUCACUAUCUAGGCUUGGCGUUCUGAGAUUACCUUGCUGGUGAAGUAGUGCUAGUGAGGAGUCCUUGGGAGUGGCACUGGCAGAAGGCUCUUGUUGCUGUCUAUGAUGGAAGAGGAGCUUUAAAUUAUUAAUGAUCCUUUGGCUUUACUUUGAAAUAAAUGGAUAUUUCAGUUUUCCAAUAUUUUUAUGAAAUACAGCCUAGUUUUGUUUUAAUUUAAAAGAAUAAAACAUAGAAAUGGCUAGAGACUCUCCUCUCAUCCCUUUUCUUUCAAUGGUAAUUAUCCUGUUAUCUAUUUUUCUUCCCCCCACCUGUCUUUUCCAUUUUAUAAUAUACAAGUAUGUAUGUGUUCAUUUUCAUAUUUGCUAUAUUUGAAUGUUUUUUAGUAUUCAUGUGUCAUGCUAUGCUUAUUCUUUUAUAGUUUGAAAAGAAACGUUGAGACAAAUUUUGUUCUGUAUAUCACAAUUUAAAUACAUCCCUUUGAUACAUUUUUAGAUUUUACUUAUUUAUGUUAACUAUUCUAUAACAUUUUAGUGAGUGAAUAUGACUGAGUAUAUUUUUGUUCUCCCAUUUCCUUCUCCUUUUUGAUAUUUUUUCUUUAUAUUGAAAAUAGCUCCCCCCCACAUUAUACAUAUGUAGUUCCAGAGUACAGUUGCCCCUCCCUUUACUCCCAGUUUCUUCCUACUCCCUUUUCCAUCAGGAUUCCCUGUUUCUGUCUCUCAUUAGAAAACAAGCAAGCUUUUAGGGCAAUAUAAUAUAAUAUGAUAAAACAAAAAACUAACACAGCCAAAUAGAACAAAAUGAAUAAACAGAGGGAAGAGAGCACAGGAAAUGGAUAUAGUCACAAAGACCUUGUUUACAUACUGAGGAGUCUAAUGAAAACACUAACGUGGAAGCAAAGGACAACUGGAAGGUAAAAAGAGCAGCGAAGAAGCUAAAAGCUCAGAUGUGACAUUAUGAGACCAGGAACCUCCAAAGAUGUCACUGAGUUUAUUCACUCUUGAUUGUCUAUUCUAUGUACUUUUCCGCUUUGUUCCUCUCCACUGUGCUUGCUCAGCCCCUUAAUCUGUAACUAACUCUGUAGUCCUACAGAUUGUAGCUUGGUUAACACUGACACAACAGCUACUAUCCUCAUGGAAGUGGAUGUAUAUUGUAUCUGUUUGUCUGCGUCUGGGUUACCUUAUUCAGGAUUUUUUUUUUCUAGCUCCAUCCAUUUACGUGAGAAUUUCUUCCUCUUUUUUUUUUUUAAAUUAUAUAAUGGCUGAGUAAUACUCCAUUGUGUAAAUAUAUCAUUUUCUUUAUCCAUUCUUUUGUUGAGGGACAUCUAGAUUAUUUAUAAUUUCUGGCUAUUAUGAACAGAGCAGCAAUGAGAGAAUGGACAACCUUGUCUUUCUGAUUUUAGUGGAAAUGCUUUGAGUUUCUAGUCAUUUAAGUUGAUGUUGGCUGUAGGUUUGCUGUUAACUUCUUUUAUUAUGUUGCAUUGUAUCUCUAAUCUCUCCAAAACUUUUAUCUUUGAAAGCAUUGGAUUUCUUAAAGGCCCCCUCCACAUUUUUGAGUAGGAUCUUUCAUUGUAGGCUGUACUUAUGAUUCAACCUAGACUGACUCUCUUCUGCCUCUGCUUUUUUGUUAUUGGGAUUAAAGGUUUGUCAGUAUGUUAGCUUUACCAUUAUUUUGAAUUGCCAUGUUCUCAUUUUAAAAUUUUUUUUCUAUUAAAACAGGUUAUACUAGAUAAUGUGUUAGAUUUAAUUUACUAUAUAACAAGUUAGUUUCUUCUGUCAAAUAGCUCACUAAGUUCUUAUCUUUGGCAAGUUACAGAUCCAGAUACCAAUUUCAAGAUUGAUACCUAGUUUCUGUUGAUAGUUUCCACUCUGAAACUUGUCUAUUUUUGAAGGGUUUUCCAUUUACCAUGUAUUUGUAAAUAUAAUUAAAUAAUCCUUAUUACUUGGGUGUUUGUUUUGUUUUUUUCAAUGGUUUUCUCUGUGUAGCCCACAGUGCUUCAUAUUUGUUUUAUUUUCCUGGGCUAUCUUGAAAUUGCUACCCUCUUACCUCAGCCUCCCAAAUGCUAGAAUUAUGGACUUGUACCACCAUACUUGGAUCAGAAUUUUAGAGUAAAAAUGCUUUCAUGUUGUGAUUUUAAUUCUUCUUUCUUUAAUUAGGAGUUGAAUCAGUUUUCUUUCCAUAUUUAUUAAGUCAUAUACUAUUUUUGUUGAUUGCCUACAUGGACAUACAUGUCUUAUUUUAUUGCAUUGCAAGUCUCUUUCUGUCUCAUAGGUAUUUAAAAACGGAAUCGUUUUGGGUUAUUUAUAUUAAAAUAGCAUGUUUGAGUUGGCUUAUUCUUGCAGUUUUUUCUUUUAUGUUCCUUCAUUGUGAAGAAAUGUCUGCUUUUUACACUAAGUAUUUGAUAUUUUUCUCUCUGUCAGCCUAGGCUUAUUCUAAAAAUACGUUUUUUCUCAAUGAGACAUAUUGUUCUACUUUAUUCUAAAUAUUGUAAAACUUGGCUUUUCUUAUUUAGGUCUUUAGUAUUUCUGGAGAUUUCUUUGAGGAGCAAUAAACUUAGUGAUCUAAUUGUAUUUGUCUAUUUGUUUCUUUGUGGAUCUAUUGAACAUGUUUCUUUAUUCCAGGGAUUGGCAGACUAUUACUUAUGAUCUAUUUUUUUUUAAAUAAAGUUUUAAUGCAGCACGGUCAUACUCCUUUGUCUUUGACCAUAUUUAUAUCAAACUUAGGAGUUGAGUAGUUACCACAAAACCUAAACUAUAUAGUAUUUAUUACUUUGCAGAAAAAUUUUGCCAUCUUUUGUGGCAAAAGAUAAUUUUUGUGACUUAUUCCAAGCAUUAUCAGGCAUGAUUGAAAAUAUGGGAAGUUAUACUAAAUGUAUUAAAAAGAAAGGAAAAAUAGUCUUUUUGUCAUGAGAAAUUAUAGAUGUUGAGGUUUUACUAUUUGCUGUAUUAACCAUAUGAAAACCUCUAAAGUAGAGCAAAAGGUAGGUUUGUGAAUUCUGAAGUUUCAAAAAAAUAUUUUGUGUCUUCAUAUAUUUUUUCAAGAAAGUGAUUGCGGACCAUUUAAGAGAAUUUCAAAGGGGGCUUUGAUAUAAAAAUAACAAAGUACUGUAGGUUUUUUUUUAUUUGUUUCUGCCCUCUUUAAAUAUAGAUAGCUUGAAGUAAAACUUUAGCCUUAAACUGUAUGGUUUUUUUUCCCUAAAAUAUGCCAGAGUUAAGCAUCUUCUUUUCCAGAUCAGAUCCAUGGAAACUAUAUUUGAUAGGAAGAAUUCUUACUCUGCCUUCAGAAUUCUGAUAGCCACUGAGACUCUUUUUGACAUUCUUGUUAAUAUUUUAACUUUUUUUAAAAAAAAGAUUUAUUUAUUUUGUAUAUAUGAGUACACUGUAGCUGUCAGACUCCCCAGAAGAAGGCAUCCAAUCUCAUUACAGAUGGUUGUGAGCCACCAUGUGGAUGCUAGGAAUUGAACUCAGGACCUCUGGACGAGUAGCCAGCUCUUAACCACUG